AGAGUUUGAUCAUGGCUCAGGACGAACGCUGGCGGCGUGCCUAACACAUGCAAGUUGAGCGACGAACCAGGGCUUGCCCUGGGGCAAAGCAGCGAACGGGUGAGUAACACGUGGGCAACCUGCCCCUCGCAGGGGGACAACCGGAGGAAACUCCGGCUAAUACCCCGUACGCUUGUUGGAUCGCAUGGUCCGGCAAGGAAAGGUAGCUUCGGCCAUCCGGCGAGGGAUGGGCCCGCGUUGCAUUAGCUAGUUGGUGGGGUAACGGCCUACCAAGGCGACGAUGCGUAGCUGGUCUGAGAGGAUGAUCAGCCACACUGGGACUGAGACACGGCCCAGACUCCUACGGGAGGCAGCAGCCAGGAAUCUUGGGCAAUGGGCGAAAGCCUGACCCAGCAACACCGUGUGGGUGACGAAGGCCUUAGGGUCGUAAAGCCCUGUUGAUAGGGACGAAGGGCGAAGGGUUAAUAGCCCCUAGCUUGACGGUACCUUUCGAGGAAGCCCCGGCUAACUACGUGCCAGCAGCCGCGGUAAUACGUAGGGGGCGAGCGUUGUCCGGAAUUAUUGGGCGUAAAGAGCGUGUAGGCGGUUCGGUAAGUCUGCUGUGAAAUCCUGGGGCUCAACCCUGGGCGUGCAGCGGAUACUGCCGGGCUAGAGGGUGGUAGAGGCGAGUGGAAUUCCGAGUGUAGCGGUGAAAUGCGCAGAUAUUCGGAGGAACACCAGUAGCGAAGGCGGCUCGCUGGGCCACACCUGACGCUGAGACGCGAAAGCGUGGGGAGCGAACAGGAUUAGAUACCCCCGUAGUCC
rnacentral:rRNA from 1 species